GACGAACGCUGGCGGCGUGCUUAACACAUGCAAGUCGAACGGAAAGGCCCUGCUUUUGUGGGGUGCUCGAGUGGCGAACGGGUGAGUAACACGUGAGUAACCUGCCCUUGACUUUGGGAUAACUUCAGGAAACUGGGGCUAAUACCGGAUAGGAGCUCCUGCUGCAUGGUGGGGGUUGGAAAGUUUCGGCGGUUGGGGAUGGACUCGCGGCUUAUCAGCUUGUUGGUGGGGUAGUGGCUUACCAAGGCUUUGACGGGUAGCCGGCCUGAGAGGGUGACCGGCCACAGUGGAACUGAGAUACGGCCCAGACUCCUACGGGAGGCAGCAGUGGGGAAUAUUGCACAAUGGGCGGAAGCCUGAUGCAGCAACGCCGCGUGCGGGAUGACGGCCUUCGGGUUGUAAACCGCUUUCGCCUGUGACGAAGCGUGAGUGACGGUAAUGGGUAAAGAAGCACCGGCUAACUACGU
rnacentral:rRNA from 1 species